rnacentral:rRNA from 1 species
CGGUGGAGCAUGUGGUUUAAUUCGAAGCAACGCGAAGAACCUUACCAGGCCUUGACAUGCAGAGAACUUUCCAGAGAUGGAUUGGUGCCUUCGGGAACUCUGACACAGGUGCUGCAUGGCUGUCGUCAGCUCGUGUCCGUGAGAUGUUGGGUUAAGUCCCGUAACGAGCGCAACCCUUGUCCUUAGUUACCAGCACGUUAUGGUGGGCACUCUAAGGAGACUGCCGGUGACAAACCGGAGGAAGGUGGGGAUGACGUCAAGUCAUCAUGGCCCUUACGGCCUGGGCUACACACGUGCUACAAUGGUCGGUACAAAGGGUUGCCAAGCCGCGAGGUGGAGCUAAUCCCAUAAAACCGAUCGUAGUCCGGAUCGCAGUCUGCAACUCGACUGCGUGAAGUCGGAAUCGCUAGUAAUCGUGAAUCAGAAUGUCACGGUGAAUACGUUCCCGGGCCUU